rnacentral:rRNA from 1 species
UGGGGAAUCUUCCGCAAUGGACGAAAGUCUGACGGAGCAACGCCGCGUGAGUGAUGACGGCCUUCGGGUUGUAAAGCUCUGUUAAUCGGGACGAAUGGUUCUUGUGCGAAUAGUGCGAGGGUUUGACGGUACCGGAAUAGAAAGCCACGGCUAACUACGUGCCAGCAGCCGCGGUAAUACGUAGGUGGCAAGCGUUGUCCGGAAUUAUUGGGCGUAAAGCGCGCGCAGGCGGAUUGGUCAGUCUGUCUUAAAAGUUCGGGGCUUAACCCCGUGAUGGGAUGGAAACUGCCAAUCUAGAGUAUCGGAGAGGAAAGUGGAAUUCCUAGUGUAGCGGUGAAAUGCGUAGAUAUUAGGAAGAACACCAGUGGCGAAGGCGACUUUCUGGACGAAAACUGACGCUGAGGCGCGAAAGCCAGGGGAGCGAACGGGAUUAGAUACCCCGGUAGUCCUGGCCGUAAACGAUGGGUACUAGGUGUAGGAGGUAUCGACCCCUUCUGUGCCGGAGUUAACGCAAUAAGUACCCCGCCUGGGGAGUACGACCGCAAGGUUG